CCUACGGGAGGCUGCAGUGGGGAAUAUUGGACAAUGGGCGAAAGCCUGAUCCAGCCAUGCCGCGUGUGUGAAGAAGGCCUUCGGGUUGUAAAGCACUUUCAGUGGGGAAGAAAGCCUUGGGGCUAAUACCCUCGAGGAAGGACAUCACCCACAGAAGAAGCACCGGCUAACUCCGUGCCAGCAGCCGCGGUAAUACGGAGGGUGCGAGCGUUAAUCGGAAUUACUGGGCGUAAAGCGCGCGUAGGCGGUCUGAUAAGCCGGUUGUGAAAGCCCCGGGCUCAACCUGGGAACGGCAUCCGGAACUGUCCGGCUAGAGUGCAGGAGAGGAAGGUAGAAUUCCCGGUGUAGCGGUGAAAUGCGUAGAGAUCGGGAGGAAUACCAGUGGCGAAGGCGGCCUUCUGGACUGACACUGACGCUGAGGUGCGAAAGCGUGGGUAGCAAACAGGAUUAGAUACCCUGGUAGUC
rnacentral:rRNA from 1 species